AAUAUUAUAAUAUUUGCAUAUUAUCUGGUUUUUAUUUUUUUAUUUACAUUUAAUUCGUGAAAAACUACACGGCGGCGUUUCGUAUUAUUAUUAUACGUGUACGUCGACAUGUCACGAAACCGAUAAAACAUGUAAUCUUUUCGGACGUCAAUUUCUCCAUCUCUAGUGGUUCCGAGUACAAACUAUAAUAGUAAUAAUAAUAAUACGACGUUGGUAUUGUGUUACAAACGGCUGUUUCGCUGCUAUAAAAACAACGUAUACAAAACCUCUUUUACGAGUAUAGGUACUAAUAAACUCGCACGAGUUAUUCUGACGAAUUGGACUCUAGACCGUACAUACUCAAGCAAGUCUUGUUAAACAACUUUCAGUCUCAGAGGGAACGAUAUUUGUUAACUCAACAACAAAAUAUG